AGAGGACUAUCAGUUAGGUGGGAAAGAAAGUACAACUCAGGUCUGAAUGUAAAGAUAUAUGUGGAAUAAUUAAUAAUUAUCUGGCCUUAGACAUAUAGACAGAAAGUGUACAGUCUGGAAGGAAACUGGAGACAAUAAGGGAAGAAUCAAUAGGCAAUAAGGGCAUGUUCAAGAGUAGGAAUAUACAGCAGUAAACAAGAAGGAAUACUGGUACAGAGAAAGGGACAUAGAGUCUAUAAAAAUAAUGUAUAUGUCAUGCAAGAACAUAGAGACUAAGUAUCAUAAUGCUAGAUGAUCUAGGUUUGAACAUAGAAGUAGACAGUAGGGUGGAAAAGAAGAGAAUAGGAGAUUACUGGUAAUGGAAUGAAGAGUAGUGUUUAACAUUCUGUUGACAGUGGAGUAAAUAGAGACAGAAGACGAAAUGAAAAGUACCUGUCAAGUAUAGGGGCAUGCUUAAGAGUACAUCAUACAGGGUAUUUCCAUAAGAGUGUGCAAAAAUGUAACAGGACAUAGAGAAUGCUCCAUUGAACAAUUUGAGGUAGGAAACCUGGGCUUGGGGAAGCCAGCUUAAGGAGAUAUGGAAAUGAACUUGUCUACUGAUUUGUCUAGCUUUACUGUUUUUCAGCUUAUUUAAAACUAACGUGUGUAAAAGUUUACAUGUACUGUGCUGUUUAUUUACAUGUACAUUACCUAUUUCCUGCAAGGAAAACAAGGAAUUGCCAUAAUUGUAGGUGCCUAUUAUAUUUUUCAGGGUGCAUCAGAAUCUUGAUUGCAUUGAGGUUGAUGGCAGUCAGUUUCACCACAUUUUGUAAGAUGGUUCAUUCAUUGUGUCAGUGAUGGUAUUUCCAGUUAACUGGAACUAAUGUAAAUAAAAAAGUACACAUUAAUGUGAUUUUAUUCCUGUUAUCUUCUUGAGCUGCAUUCUCAAAUCCCAGGCUCCCUACUUAAGAUUGUUCAGAGGAGCAUUCUCAAUGUCCUGUUAAAUUUUUGCACACUCUGAUGGAAACACCCUUUAUAAGAGUGGGGAAAUUGAAAUGUAUCAAACAAGAGCCCUCUCGUGGUAUAGAAUGUUUGAAGAUCUCAUAGUACAAGAUAAUCCAUGUGUUAUAAAUUGGGAGAGACAUUAACAAAAGGGAUAGGGCUUGGUUUUGUGAAGCAAAGUAUCAGUCUAAAGCUGAACUGAAGCAGAAGGGUAAAAAUAUAUGAAUUUAAGGAAGAAGACAUAUACUGUACUGGUAUAUAACAAGAAUAUAAUUAUUAGAAACAAGAAUUAAGAGAAAGAAGUGUCAGCAGAGAGGUACAUAAAAGGGAUUAAGGUGAAAGAAGAAGAAAUAAAUAGAGGAUAAUUUUAUGCAGGUUAAAAGUAUUUUCAAAGAAAAAGGGUCAACAAUUUGACUAAAAAUAAGAUAGAUUUAAAAACAAAUGCAUUAAUUGAGGUUGGUUUAGGGAUAGGCACAUAGAUAUACAGAUAACUGAAACAGAGGAGAACUGUAGACAAGAAGGGAAAGCUCAAUCUGGGAAUAGAAUAAAUUCAAGUACAAGAAUGUCUGAUAAUAAAACAGAAGGCAUGCAUUGAAGAAGAAAAUGAAGAUAACGUGCAGGGUGGUAGUGGAAGUGUGUGUGUGUGUGUGUGUGUGUGUGUGUGUGGGGGGGGGGGGGGGGUAGGAGAAUUCUAAAACUUUCAUAAAUAACUUAAAGCAUUUAUUAAUGACUCUGUCAAUAGUUGUAGUACUUAUAUUAGGUGACUAAUUUCAAAUCUUAAGGUUCAUUUUCAAGCAUAGCGUAUUGAGGCUGCAAAGACAGUGCCUGAUCUUAAUAAUAAACAUCAAUGUGGCAACAUAUGCUUUAUGAAUGUUAGCAGAAUGAGUCUCACAAUCACACUUACCUCUUACCAAGUCAAAAGUGACUUGGUAGGAGGCAUGUUGCUGAUUACCUGUCAACAAAAUGCUGAAACUGAAAAACUGCAUAAAUGAGUUUCAUGUUUUGAGACCUGUCAUGCUAUAAGAAAUAAAUUUUAUUGAUGGCACUAAAAAAUUUAUCUCAGAAAAUUAUUGUUUAUGUGUCAAAUUUAAGAAUAAAAAUUCUGGACUUCAUAUUGCAGCAAAGGUGAAAUAGCUAUGGCCAUAUUGCAGGUGGGUCAAGAUUUCAGAACUGAAAACACACAUGCAUGGAAAAAAUGAUAAGAGCAAACAGGAAUUAAGAAUCUGUCAAAUGAUUAAGUCAUGCCCAAUGGUAAUAAAUAAGUAAUAUUACAGCAGAAGACACACAUUAAACAAGAAAUUGUAGAUUAUAUAUGUGUGUAUGGGAGAAUCCUGGGGAUAGAAAGUGGUAGAAUAAAGGACUAAAAGAUAAGAAAAGCAAUGUGGAGAGGAGUGAAAUCUGGUUGAAUGAGAUUGGACCAUUUUGACCCAUAGAAGAAGAAACUUGUUGAACAAAAACAUUAUUGUCACAUGCCAUAAUGAAGUAUGAUCUAGAUUUGGAUAAAAGAUUAGACAGAAAGUUGGAAAAGAAGUCAGUAGGAAACAAGAAUAAAAUAGUAUGCCUAAGGACAGGUACAUAUUUUCAAGUUCAACACCAUUCAAAAAUGGUCAAAUAACAUAGUAAACAUGAACCCUGUUUAUUUUCAAUCCUCUGCCAACAUAUCUGCUCAUUUAUCCCUACUUCUCUCCUUUUUUGUUGCCUUUUCCCCAAACUCCCUGUCCUAAAACCUCCUGACACAGUGCAUGUCAGCCAUCUAGUCCAUUCCUUCCCCACCCCCUCCAGAUGGCUACUUGCAUCCCACGUGCAAUGUAUCUUUUCCUACAUUGUUGAUGUUACUACCUGGAGUUUCCACUGUUUCAUUUUAGCUGAAUACAUACUUCAUACAAGAAAUUAGAGAUCAUAUGUCUGUAUAUGGGAGAAUCAUAAUGUUAGCAGGAUAAACAUAGAGGGAUAAACGAGAAGAGAAUAUUCUUUCAUAGGACAAGUGCAUGCACAUGGAAAUGGCAGUAACCAUUUUACAUAAAAAGAAAUUAUGUAUCAUGCAGGAAUAUAAAGAUCACAUGCCAGAAUACCAGGUGAUCAAGAUCUGUAUAUGGAAAUAGACAGAAUGAUGGAAAAAGACGUGAAUAGAAGACAAGAGAAGAAGAAUCUGUGAAGGAUAAGGGCAUGCUCAAGAGUAAUAACAAAUGGCAAUAAACGAGAAGAGAUAUUAGUACACAGAAAGAAAACUCAAAGACUGGAUGACUUACACAAGAUUAUCAAGAUUUUAGGACAGAUAGAGUGAGUGAAUGAGUGAGGAGUGUGUGUGUGUGUGUGUGUGUGUGUGUGUGUGUGUGUGAGAGAGAGAGAGAGAGAGAGAGAGAGAGAGAGAGAGAGACAGACAGACAGACAGACAGACAGACAGGCAGAAAGAGUGAGGGCUGGGAGGGGGAGAGUGUAUAGGAGGAGCUAGGAAUGGAGUAUCUGUCAAAUGACAAGUGCAUUCUCAAAGGUAAGAAUCAAAGGUAUUACAGCUGAAGACAUACUUCAUACAAGAAUGUAGAGAGUAUAUGUCUGUAUAUGGGAGAAUCCUAGUGAUAGCAAGAUAGAGACAGAGGGAUAACAGAGAAGAUAGAAAAAGAAAAUAUUCUUUCAAAAGACAAAUGCAUGCUCAAAGAAACAGCAGAACCAUUUUACAUAAAAAGAAAUUAUGUAUCAUGCAGGAACAUAGAGGGCACAUGCCAUAAAGCUAGAGGAUCAAGAUUUGCACACAGAAAUAGACAGAAACGUGAAAAGGCCCACUUGAUUAGCUGUGGGGCCUAACGCACUGCUUUCCAGGCAGGAAGGCAUGCCGAUGCCUGGGAAGAAUCCGCCUGGUGGAUUAGUGUCGAGGUCAGGUGUGCCAGCCAGUCUGUGGAUGGUUUUAAGAUGGUUUUCCAUUUGCCUCAGCGAAUGUGGGCUGGUUCCCCUUAUUCCGCCUCAGUUACACUAUGUCGGCGAUUAGUGCACAAACACUUUCUCCAUGUACGCAUACACCAUAAUUACUCCACCAAGCAAACUUUGGGGUUACACUCGUCUGGUGUGAGACCUUCCUUGGGCGGGGGGGUUGGGGGGGGGGUCACUGGGGGCAGAACAGCACAAUAACCCUGUGUUCAGUGUGGCGCAGCAGUGGGGUGAGGGGUGAGUGCACUGCUUAAGCCUGUUGUGGGGUGUGUACACCACUGUGGGCUAUAGCAGGGAUGAAACCUCUCCAUCGUUUCUAGGUCCCCAGUUCCAUACAAUAAACUACAAGGUGAAAGAGCAGAUAACGGUGACAAGAGAAGUAGAAUCUGUGAAGGAUAAGGGUAGGUUAAAGAGUAAACCAUGUAGCAACAGAGAAGUUGAAAUGCAUCAAACAAGGACACAAAGAUUACAUAGUGUAGUAAAGGAAGGUUAAAAGUAUAAGGAAAAUGGUAGAGAGGCAGCUUAUCAAAAGGGGAGGAAAUGGGAGCCAAUAAGAGAAGAUUCAGUACGGGGCAAGAGCAUGCUCAAAGUAGCAAUAUAUCACAAUCAAAGAGAAGGCAUACUGGUAUAUAGAAGGACUAGAAGGCAUAUAUAAAUUUUAGGUCAGACAGAAAAGGGAUAGAGAGAGAGAGAGAGAGAGAGAGAGAGAGAGAGAGUGCUAGGGAGGGGGGCGAAAGAGAAAGAUAGAGAGAGAAUGGGGGACUGGUGAAAAUGCAAAGAAGAGGGAACAGAUAAGAAGUAUUUGUCAAAUGAUAAGUGGAUUCUCAAUGGUAAGAAUAGCUUGCAUCACAGCUGUAGGCAUAAAUCAUACACGAAAGUUGGGCGAAACCUAGGGUUAGCUAGAUAGACAUAGAGGUGUAAAAGGGAAGAGAGAAGAGAGAAAAUUCUGUCAAGAGGGAAGUGCAUGCUCAAGGAAAUGGAAGUAACCAUUUUAAAUGAAAAGAAAUUAAUUACCAUGCAAGAAUGUAGAUCACAUGCCAUAAUACUAGGUGAACAAGAUCUGUACAUGUAAAUAGUCAGAAUCGUGGAAAAGACAUGAAUAGAAGACAAGAGGAGAAGAAUCUGUGAAGGAUAAGGGCAUGCUCAAAAGUAAUAGCAAAUGGUAAUAAAAGAUAUCAGAUAUUAGUGCACAGAAAGAGAACUCAAAGACUGGAUGACUUACGAAAGAUUAUCAAGAUUUUAGGACAGAUAGAGUGAGUGAAUGAGAGAGGAGAGAGAGAGAGAGAGAGAGAGAGAGAGAGAGAGAGAGAGAGAGUAUGUGAGCUAGGAAUGGUGUAUCUGUCAAAUGAUAAGUUCAUUCUCAAGGGUAAUAAUAAAAGGUAUUACAGCUGAAGACAUAGUUUGUACAGGAAAGUAGAGAUUAUAUGUCUGUAUAUGAUAGAAUCCUAGUGUUAGCAAGGUAAAGACAGAGGGAUAACAGAGAAGAUAGAAAAAGACAAAUGUAUUCUCAAGGAAAAGGCAGGACCAUUUUACAUAAAAGGAAGUAAUGUAACAUGCAAGAACAAAGAGAUCACAUGCCAUAAUGCUAGAGGAUCAAGAUCUGCAUACAGAAAUACACAGAAAGGUGAAAGACCCCCCCUGGUAAGCCAUGGGGAGAGGAAGUAAUGCCGGUCCCUGGGACAAAUCUGGCUGGUGGAUUAGUGUCAAGGUCAGGUGUGCCAGCCAGUGUGUGGAUGGUUUUUAAGGUGGUUUUCCAUCUGCUUCAGCGAAUGUGUUCGGGAUCCCCUUAUUCUACAUCAGUUACACUAUGUUGGUGAUUACUGCGCAAACACUUUGUCCAUCUAUGCAUACACCAUAAUUACUCAACCAUGCAAACACUGGGGUUACACUCGUAUGGUGCGACACGUUUAAGAGGGGGUCCACUGGUUGCCGUACUCGAUAAUAACCCUAGGAUCGGGGUGGGGCGGUAGUGGAGUGAGGGGUGAGUGGACUGCUGUAGCCUGUUGUGGGUUUGUGUACCACUGUGGGAUACCGUGGGGAUGAAUCCUCUCCAUUGUUUCUAUGUCCCCAGUUCCAUACAACACAAUACAAGGUGAAAGAGCAGAUAAUGGUGACAAGAGAAGUAGAAUCUGUGAAGUAUAAGGGUAGGUUCAAGAGUAAACCAAGUAGAAGCAGUGAAAUUGAAAUGCAUCAAACAAGGAGAGAGAGAGAGAGGGGGGGAGAGAGAGAGAUAGAUAGAUAGAUAGAGAGAGAGAGAGAGAGAGAGAGAGAGAGAGAGAGAGAGAGAGAGAAAGUGGGAGAGAGAGAGAGAGGGAGUGAGAGUGUUAGGAAGGGGGUGAAAGAGAAACAUAGAGAGAGAUUGAGGGGGGGGGGGGGGAAAUGCAAAAAGAGAGAACAGAAAUGAAGUAUUUGUUAAAUGAUAAGUGGAUUCUCAAUGGUAAGAAUAACUUGCAUCGCAGCUGUAGGCAUAAAUCAUACACGAAAGUUGGGAGAAACCUAGGGUUAGCUAGAUAGAGAUAGAGGUGUAAAA